GACGAACGCUGGCGGCGUGCUUAACACAUGCAAGUCGAACGGAAAGGCCCUGCUUUUGUGGGGUGCUCGAGUGGCGAACGGGUGAGUAACACGUGAGUAACCUGCCCUUGACUUUGGGAUAACUUCAGGAAACUGGGGCUAAUACCGGAUAGGAGCUCCUGCUGCAUGGUGGGGGUUGGAAAGUUUCGGCGGUUGGGGAUGGAUUCGCGGCUUAUCAGCUUGUUGGUGGGGUAGUGGCUUACCAAGGCUUUGACGGGUAGCCGGCCUGGGAGGGUGACCGGCCACAUUAGGACUGGGAUACGGCCCAGACUCCUAUGGGAGGCAGCGGUGGAGAAUAUUGCACAAUGGGCGGAAGCCUGAUGCAGCAACGCCGCGUGCGGGAUGACGGCCUUCGGGUUGUAAACCGCUUUCGCCUGUGACGAAGCGUGAGUGACGGUAAUGGGUAAAGAAGCACCGGCUAACUACGUG
rnacentral:rRNA from 1 species